rnacentral:rRNA from 1 species
UACAGGGGGUGCAAACGUUGCUCGGAAUCAUUGGGCGUAAAGCGCACGUAGGCGGUUCGUUAUGUCGGAUGUGAAAGCCCUUGGCUUAACCGAGGAAGUGCAUCCGAAACUGGCGAGCUAGAGUACUAAAGAGGAUCGCGGAAUUCCCGGUGUAGAGGUGAAAUUCGUAGAUAUCGGGAGGAACACCGGUGGCGAAGGCGGCGAUCUGGGUAGAUACUGACGCUGAGGCACGAAAGCGUGGGGAGCAAACAGG